CUUGCAGACUCGGUCGGGCAGCAGGGGCAGUGACCUCGGCUGCACUAGCAGAGCCAGCAAGACCUCCAGGUUCCCUUGCUCCAACAGGAAGAUGGCCAGAGACUCCUGUGCUGGUGAGCCCUGCAGCAGUGCCAGUAGCAGGUCCAGAGCACCCACCACCUGGGGACACAGUCUCAUUCUGGGCUGGCUGCUCCCCUCAGCGUAGCCACACCCCACCCCUCACCCAAGCCUCACCCUCACCACCCUCCAGCCUACCUGGCCAUCAUCACCUGCAGCCACCAGAAAGCUAAGCACAACCUGCAUGUCAUCAGUGGCAGAGCUCCGAACCAGCAACUCCCGCACCAGGCCAAGGAGUGAGCUUCUGUCUGUGUUCCCGGACUAUGCUAGACAUGUACUGGAUGUGGCCUGAAUGGGCAUCAUCAGAGGACUCAGGCCACCAGGCUCCUCCUGGCUUACCUUCCCUCCCGCAAGGACAGCACCAAAGAGAUGGACGAGACGCAACAGCAGCAUGGGAGGCAAGCCAUCUGCAUCCUGCAGGCUCUCUGGAUGGGGUGGGUGCACAGGACAGGACAAUAUCACCAAGUUUGCAGGGGACUACCCAAGAGGAGGGUGUCCUGGGUUGGGGUAGAGGGCUGGGACACCCAGUGUAAGGGAAAA